GCUGACGAGUGGCGGACGGGUGAGUAAUGUCUGGGAAACUGCCUGAUGGAGGGGGAUAACUACUGGAAACGGUGGCUAAUACCGCAUAACGUCGCAAGACCAAAGAGGGGGACCUUCGGGCCUCUUGCCAUCAGAUGUGCCCAGAUGGGAUUAGCUUGUUGGUGAGGUAACGGCUCACCAAGGCGACGAUCCCUAGCUGGUCUGAGAGGAUGACCAGCCACACUGGAACUGAGACACGG
rnacentral:rRNA from 1 species